rnacentral:rRNA from 1 species
GACGAACGCUGGCGGCGUGCUUAACACAUGCAAGUCGAACGGAAAGGCCCUGCUUUUGUGGGGUGCUCGAGUGGCGAACGGGUGAGUAACACGUGAGUAACCUGCCCUUGACUUUGGGAUAACUUCAGGAAACUGGGGCUAAUACCGGAUAGGAGCUCCUGCUGCAUGGUGGGGGUUGGAAAGUUUCGGCGGUUGGGGAUGGACGCGCGGCUUAUCAGCUUGUUGGUGGGGUAGUGGCUUACCAAGGCUUUGACGGGUAGCCGGCCUGAGAGGGUGACCGGCCACAUUGGGACUGGGAUACGGCCCAGACUCCGACGGGAGGCAGGGGUGGGGAAUAUUGCACAAUGGGCGGAAGCCGGAUGCAGCAACGCCGCGUGCGGGAUGACGGCCUUCGGGUUGUAAACCGCUUUCGCCUGUGACGAAGCGUGAGUGACGGUAAUGGGUAAAGAAGCACCGGCUAACUACGU